CAGGAAGAUGUUAUCUUUUAGCAGCCUUCCAGUAUCUGAAGGGGGCCCACAAGGAUGCUGGAGAGGGAAUUUUCAUCAGGGUCUGUAACAGUAGGACAAGGGGUGAUGGGUUCAAACUAAAAGAGGGGAAGUUCAGGUUACAUAUAAGGAAGAA